rnacentral:lncRNA from 1 species
ACUCUAUUCAAGGGAACUUUGUGCAAUUACGAGGAGGUCUGGGUUGCCCAAUCGAAAGUCUGAGGUUGAUUUGUGAGGACGCAUAUGUAAUGUCGAGAGUUUUGGGGUCCAUUUGAGAAGAACCAAAAGGUUGAAGGGUCAAAUGUGAAAAUAAUCAAAAAUCCACCAUUGUGGAACUCCUGAGCUUUUCAAUUUGAAGAUGGCCGCGACGGCGAGAGGCAACGACUCCGGAGCUUCGGGACAGGCUACCACGACUCGAGCUCAGCCACGACGACGACUUGAAGCUGAGAGCGACACAAGGAGAAGCUGGCGGAUUCUAGACUCGGAUUGGAAGCUACGAUGACGAGAUUGAGGUGAUGACAGAGGUUUCUGUUGAUCGAAGAGCUUGGACCGUUGCUCUAAUGGUGGAAAGGUCGCAAAUCGAGCAUGGACAAAGUGAAGAAGAAGAAGUCGGAGCUCACCUCUUAGCGGGUCUGCAGCGAUCAAUGACAGUGGGCACUGGACGUCGCUCGGGAAGACGCGAACUG